rnacentral:rRNA from 1 species
CCCUUAGAUGUUCUGGGCCGCACGCGCGCUACACUGAUGCAUUCAACGAGUCUAAAACCUGCUCUGAUAGGGGUGGGUAAUCUUUUGAAUGUGCAUCGUGAUUGGGAUAGAUGAUUGCAAUUUUUCAUCUUCAACGAGGAAUGCCUAGUAAACGCAAGUCAUCAGCUUGCAUUGAUUACGUCCCUGCCCUUUGUACACACCGCCCGUCGCUCCUACCGAUUGAAUGAUCCGAUGAAUAUCAUGGAUUGAGGAUGCAAGUAGGUUCGCCUAUCUUCAUCUUCGAGAAGUGAAGUAAAUCUUAUCAUUUAGAGGAAGGAGAAGUCAUAACA